GCCACAAUCCUCAAAAAUCAUUUAUUAAAUUUGAAGUUUAAAAUUAAAUCAAAUUUUGAAGUUGGAAAAAAUUAAGAAGUGACUGGCCAUUAGAGCCACGGAGCAGCCACACAAGAAGCACGGGGAACCGCCAAGUCGGUUCAUCGGCAAGGAAGAAGAAGGGGAAGUCUGAUAAAAAUAAGCAAGAGAAUAAGCAAAACCCUAAGGUGUUUGCUUUUACUCCAUCUGUGCAAGCGAAGAGAUUGCAGUCGCAGGCUGUUGAGAAAGAGCAAUGGAGGCUUCACAUUCCAACUAUAGACCGUUCUUAUGGUGAACCACCGCCAUAUGUUGUGGUAGUCCAGGAUCGCACCAGGAUUGUUUACAUACUGAUUCUUUUGUUGGAAAGUCUUCGGUUAUCAAGUCGCUUAUAAAGCAUUAUACAAAGCAUAAUGUUCCUGAGGUCUGAGGACCGAUUACUAUUGUAUCAGGUUUAUGUUUGCUCUGACCUAAUGAAUUAUUAAAUUAAAAAAGUUAUUGGAGUUUAUGUUUUCUUUAUUUUCUUUAACUCUGAUGCGGAAUUGAUGAAAUAUGUUCGGUAAGCAAAGGUGGCUAAUGACGGUAUGAUUGAUUGUGCAAAGGUUGCUGACUUGGCACUGCUUCUCAUAGAUGGAAGUUACGGGUUUGAAAUGGUGAGAUUAUUGCUGUUUAGUUUUCACUGUUGAUUACUGCAUGAUGUUUCUUUGGGGAACCUUACUUUCUGCUUAUGUGAGCUGAGAGGAUUGAUACUUGUUGGAUUGCGACGCUUUUGGGUAAUUGAUAAAGAUAUCUUGCUCCAGAAGAAAAGA